UACAGAGGGUGCAAGCGUUAAUCGGAAUUACUGGGCGUAAAGCGUGCGUAGACGGUUAUGUAAGUCGGGUGUGAAAGCCCCGGGCUCAACUGGGGAGGGUCACGCGAUACUGUUCGACUCGAAGGCAGGAGAGGGUAGUGGAAUUCCCGGUGUAGUGGUGAAAUGCGUAGAUAUCGGGAGGAACACCAGUGGCGAAGGCGACUACCUGGCCUGUUCUUGACGCUGAGGCGCGAAAGCUAGGGUAGCAAACGGG
rnacentral:rRNA from 1 species